rnacentral:lncRNA from 1 species
GCGUGUUACAGCACCCGUGUGCAUGUGAGAUCUCUGCCUUUUAUUUUCAGUUACCCCCAAGUCUCCUAACCAAAGCGUCUCCUCCCUGAUGAGGGUGAUCACUGGCUACAAGCCUGGGGCUUCCACACCCAAGGUCUGGGAAGCUGCUCUUUCCGGAAGGGUGGUAGAGACCCUGGGAACCAGACCAGGCGGGCUCACAAAGUAUGAAGAGAAUGUCGGGAGAGGAAGUGGUGGCUCUGAGUCAGCACGAGUCAUCUGGUUCCAGUGACAAUGAAGACUGAGGCAAGCUGCGCAUAUCUUGGGAUCUUCACAGCACAGUGGCUGGGAAGGCAGGCGGACCCGUCUAUCAGCUUCUCCCUGAAUAACUGGGAGCUGAAACAGGAAGCCCCAUGACACAGUUGAUCGAAAAUGACACAGACACAGAAAAAUCAGGACGUGCCCCCAGCAGCACCCCUACCUGCUGCCUGCUGAUCACGGCUGGGAGGCCCGUCCAGGGUUCCCACCCGGGAACGGACUCUUAGCUACUCAGUGCUCACGGGUGCUGGGCCUGCAGAGCUUUUCGGAUGCUCUCUUACAGCUGGUUUGUUAUCUUUUAAUCAAUCAACUAAUUAAUCUAUUACUUUAUUUAUUGGCCCUCCCCAUGUCUUGAUCCUUUCUUCAUUAAAAGCAAAAGGAAAGAAAA